UAUGCUAUCUUGAAGAUAAAAGCCUUGCAGAGGACAGCAGAGCAGGAAGAAACAAGGAGCCUUGUCCUUGAUGAUGGCUUGGAGCCUCUGUGCCAGUCCUUACUGCUAACCCAAGGUCCCAGGAGGCCCAUGCUGGGCUUCAGUGUCUGCCUUGACUAGCUGAUGCUUCACGGAACUUUACCACUCUCCAAGCCACAUCUAAGAAGAGCCUUCUACACACCAAGCUUACUGAACGAGGAAUGUUAUUCCAAUAGAUAGUCUCACCAGGAGUUUGUGAAUGUUUCCAUCUCAAGGGACCUUCUCAGGAAUAGGGUUUUCUUCAUUAAAGAAAUCUUGCAUCCUGAAAAAUAGAGGAGUCUCAUCUGAUUCUGGCUCCUUGAGGAUGUUAGCAAGAUUUCCUUAGCAUCCUAAAGCACCUCUACCCUGGAACAUCUCAUGUCCUAUUUGUACCUUCUGAAAACAAAGCCUGAACCUUUACUAUGGAGAGCUUUCAGCAAAGGAUUCUUGUA
rnacentral:lncRNA from 1 species